AGCAUUGCUGUAACCAACAAAGACACCGUCAAAUUAAGUACAUUCCUGAACUUCAGCAAAGCCCCACAACAUGACCAAGAUGAGCUUCCUGAGCAGCAAGGUGUUGGCAGGGAACUUGAUGUCCCCCUCAACCAGUCAGGUUUGGGGGGCUGAAGAAAGCCUAAAUCUCUUAGAUGAUCUCUGGAGGUGGUCAAGCCCUUCAAACCUCAUGGGUUCUCCAGUGACAAGGCUAAGGCGAGCUCCUCCCAAUGGCUGGCUGUGGAUGGGUUGGUCAGUGUUUCCAACAGAUUGGAUGUUGGAGAAAAUGGAUCUGAAGGAGUUUGACUUUGAUGCCCUGUUGGGUAUGGAUGACCUGGAAACCAUGCCAGAUGAGCUUUUGGCCAUGUUGGAUGACACGUGUGAUCUCUUUUCCCACCUAGUCCAAGAGACUAAUAAGGAGCCCUCUCCCUCACCCCCGACAGUGAACCCAAUUGGCCAUCUCCCAGAAAGUUUAACAAAAACCAAUCAGGUUGCCCCCUUCACCUUCCUCUUCCUCUAUGCCCAGGGGUCCUGUCCUCUACUCCAGAUCAUUCCUUUAGUUUAGAGCUGGGCAGUGAAGUGGAUCUUUCUGAAGGAGAUAGAAAGCCAGACUCUGCUGCUUACAUUACCAUGAUUCUUCAGUGUGUAAAGGAGGAAGACACCCCCUCAGAUAAUGACAAUGGCAUCUGUAUGAUCCCAGAGUCCUAUCUGGGCAUUCCCCAGCAUAGCCCUUCUACCUCCAGGGGUUCUCCAAAUAGGAGCCUGCCAUCUCCAGGUGUCCUCUGUGGCUGUCGGCCCCAAACCUUACGACCCUCCUGGAGAGAAAAUAAUAGCAGCAAAAGUAAAGGAGGAGAAGCUGGAUAAGCAGCUGAAAAAAGGGUGGUGCCUAUGGCUCAAAGGAGUAGGGCGCUAGCUCUAUAUGCCGGA